UACAGAGGGUGCAAGCGUUAAUCGGAAUUACUGGGCGUAAAGCGCGCGUAGGUGGUUCAGUAAGAUGGAAGUGAAAUCCCCGGGCUCAACCUGGGAACUGCUUUCAUAACUGCUGAGCUAGAGUACGGUAGAGGGUAGUGGAAUUUCCUGUGUAGCGGUGAAAUGCGUAGAUAUAGGAAGGAACACCAGUGGCGAAGGCGACUACCUGGACUGGUACUGACACUGAGGUGCGAAAGCGUGGGGAGCAAACAGGAUUAGAUACCCCCGUAGU
rnacentral:rRNA from 1 species